rnacentral:misc_RNA from 1 species
UCCGGCUUCCCGCCGGCAGUCUCCCGAGAGUCCCCGCCUUUACGCGCUGGCAACAUAGAACGAGGGUUGCGCUCGUUGCGGGACUUAACCCAACAUCUCACGACACGAGCUGACGACAACCAUGCACCACCUGUAAACCGACCGCAAGCGGGGCACCUGUUUCCAGGUGUUUCCGGUUCAUGUCAAGCCUUGGUAAGGCUCUUCGCGUUGCAUCGAAUUAAUCCACAUGCUCCGCCGCUUGUGCGGGCCCCCGUCAAUUCCUUUGAGUUUUAGCCUUGCGGCCGUACUCCCCGGGCGGGGCGCUUAAUGCGUUAGCUACGGCACGGAUCCCGUGGAAGGAAACCCACACCUAGCGCCCACCGUUUACGGCGUGGACUAC